rnacentral:tRNA from 1 species
GAUUAGCUCAACUGGAUAGAGCGUUGGCCUCCGGAGCCGAAGGUUGUGGGUUCGAAUCCCGUAUCU